rnacentral:rRNA from 1 species
GAACGCUGGCGGCGUGCCUAAUACAUGCAAGUCGAGCGAACAGAUAAGGAGCUUGCUCCUUUGACGUUAGCGGCGGACGGGUGAGUAACACGUGGAUAACCUACCUAUAAGACUGGGAUAACUUCGGGAAACCGGAGCUAAUACCGGAUAACAUAUUGAACCGCAUGGUUCAAUAGUGAAAGGCGGCUUUGCUGUCACUUAUAGAUGGAUCCGCGCCGUAUUAGCUAGUUGGUAAGGUAACGGCUUACCAAGGCAACGAUACGUAGCCGACCUGAGAGGGUGAUCGGCCACACUGGAACUGAGACACGGUCCAGACUCCUACGGGAGGCAGCAGUAGGGAAUCUUCCGCAAUGGGCGAAAGCCUGACGGAGCAACGCCGCGUGAGUGAUGAAGGUCUUCGGAUCGUAAAACUCUGUUAUCAGGGAAGAACAAAUGUGUAAGUAACUGUGCACAUCUUGACGGUACCUGAUCAGAAAGCCACGGCUAACUACGUGCCAGCAGCCGCGGUAAUACGUAGGUGGCAAGCGUUAUCCGGAAUUAUUGGGCGUAAAGCGCGCGUAGGCGGUUUUUUAAGUCUGAUGUGAAAGCCCACGGCUCAACCGUGGAGGGUCAUUGGAAACUGGAAAACUUGAGUGCAGAAGAGGAAAGUGGAAUUCCAUGUGUAGCGGUGAAAUGCGCAGAGAUAUGGAGGAACACCAGUGGCGAAGGCGACUUUCUGGUCUGUAACUGACGCUGAUGUGCGAAAGCGUGGGGAUCAAACAGGAUUAGAUACCCUGGUAGUCCACGCCGUAAACGAUGAGUGCUAAGUGUUAGGGGGUUUCCGCCCCUUAGUGCUGCAGCUAACGCAUUAAGCACUCCGCCUGGGGAGUACGACCGCAAGGUUGAAACUCAAAGGAAUUGACGGGGACCCGCACAAG